rnacentral:rRNA from 1 species
CGAUGAACCACUUCGGUGGGGAUUAGUGGCGAACGGGUGAGUAACACGUGGGCAAUCUGCCCUGCACUCUGGGACAAGCCCUGGAAACGGGGUCUAAUACCGGAUACAACCACUAGGGGCAUCUCUUGGUGGUGGAAAGCUCCGGCGGUGCAGGAUGAGCCCGCGGCCUAUCAGCUUGUUGGUGAGGUAAUGGCUCACCAAGGCGACGACGGGUAGCCGGCCUGAGAGGGCGACCGGCCACACUGGGACUGAGACACGGCCCAGACUCCUACGGGAGGCAGCAGUGGGGAAUAUUGCACAAUGGGCGAAAGCCUGAUGCAGCGACGCCGCGUGAGGGAUGACGGCCUUCGGGUUGUAAACCUCUUUCAGCAGGGAAGAAGCGAAAGUGACGGUACCUGCAGAAGAAGCGCCGGCUAACUACGUGCCAGCAGCCGCGGUAAUACGUAGGGCGCGAGCGUUGUCCGGAAUUAUUGGGCGUAAAGAGCUCGUAGGCGGCUUGUCGCGUCGGUUGUGAAAGCCCGGGGCUUAACCCCGGGUCUGCAGUCGAUACGGGCAGGCUAGAGUUCGGUAGGGGAGAUCGGAAUUCCUGGUGUAGCGGUGAAAUGCGCAGAUAUCAGGAGGAACACCGGUGGCGAAGGCGGAUCUCUGGGCCGAUACUGACGCUGAGGAGCGAAAGCGUGGGGAGCGAACAGGAUUAGAUACCCUGGUAGUCCACGCCGUAAACGGUGGGCACUAGGUGUGGGCAACAUUCCACGUUGUCCGUGCCGCAGCUAACGCAUUAAGUGCCCCGCCUGGGGAGUAC